rnacentral:rRNA from 1 species
GAACGCUGGCGGCGUGACCUAACACAUGCAAGUAGAACGGAGUUAUUAUUAGGAAGUUUCGGAUGGAAUAAUAAUAACUAGUGGCGGACGGGUGAGUAACGCGUGGGUAACCUGCCUCACGACAGGGGGAUAACAGUUGGAAACGACUGCUAAAACCGCAUAAGCAUACAUUGUCGCAAUGACAGAGUGUGAAAAAUAUUUAUAGGUGUGAGAUGGGCCCGCGUCUGAUUAGCUAGUUGGUAGGGUAACGGCCUACCAAGGCGACGAUCAGUAGCCGGCUUGAGAGAGUGACCGGCCACAUGGGACUGAGACACGGCCCAAACUCCUACGGGAGGCAGCAGUGGGGAAUAUUGCACAAUGGGGGAAACCCUGAUGCCAGCGACGCCGCGUGAGUGAAGAAGUAUUUCGGUAUGUAAAGCUCUAUCAGCAGGGAAGAAAGUGACGGUACCUGACUAAGAAGCCCCGGCUAACUACGUGCCAGCCGCCGC